AGUGAACGCUGGCGGCAGGCCUAACACAUGCAAGUCGAACGGCAGCACAAGAGAGCUUGCUCUCUGGGUGGCGAGUGGCGGACGGGUGAGGAAUGCAUCGGAAUCUGCCCAUUUGUGGGGGAUAACCUCGGGAAACCGGGACUAAUACCGCAUACGACCUACGGGUGAAAGCAGGGGAUCUCCGGACCUUGCGCAGAUGGAUGAGCCGAUGCCGGAUUAGCUAGUUGGAGGGGUAAAGGCCCACCAAGGCGACGAUCCGUAGCUGGUCUGAGAGGAUGAUCAGCCACACUGGGACUGAGACACGGCCCAGACUCCUACGGGAGGCAGCAGUGGGGAAUAUUGGACAAUGGGCGCAAGCCUGAUCCAGCCAUGCCGCGUGUGUGAAGAAGGCCUUCGGGUUGUAAAGCACUUUUGUUGGGAAAGAAAAGCAGCCGGUUAAUACCCGGUUGUCAUGACGGUACCCAAAGAAUAAGCACCGGCUAACUUCGUG
rnacentral:rRNA from 1 species